rnacentral:lncRNA from 1 species
AAACAGAGAGGAAACUACUUCAUUCUUUGCUCACAAGAAAAAGCUUUAAGAUAUUCCAUCAACAAAACAUUCAAAAGAAGCUAGAAAAUUGUCUGAUACCUUUUCUUGAUGAUGCAUCAAGAGAUUUACAAAUAAUUGAUUUACAAGAUACUUUUGAGAGGAUCACCUUUGACAUUGGUUGCGCUUUUUUAUUUGGCUUUGAUCCUAAUUACCUUCAUAAAAAAUUCAACGACUUAUCAAAUAUGGACUGCGUAACAGCUUUUUCUGUAUUAGAGGAUAUUGUUUUGUGUAGGCACUUUACUCCAAAUUUUGUUUGGAAGCUACAAAAAUGGCUACAAAUUGGUCCAGAGAAGAACGGCAAGGUAGCUAAAGAAAAUAUAGAUCAAUUCUUAUACAAAUGUGUAAGUUAUUGCAAAGGUGAUGAAGAAAAAAGAAAAUUAAAAAGCACUGAAUAUGUGGAUGAAGGCCAAUAUUCUUGCUUGAUAGAAGCAAUAAUGAAUGAGGGCUCAGUAAAGAGAGAAAUGGUUGACAAGUAUCUUAUAGACACUGCAUUCAAUCUCUUGGGUGCAGGAAGUGGGACAGUUAGUUCAGCUCUCAGUUGGUUUUUUUGGCUUAUUUCAAAACAUCCUUUAGUGGAAGCUAAGAUCAUUCAAGAGAUCAAAGAUAAUUGUGUAACAAAGGAUGAGAAUUUUAUCACUAAGUUAGGUGUUGAAGAGUUUGAUAAGCUAGUGUACCUUCAUGGAGCUAUAUGUGAAGCCUUGAGGCUUUAUCCUCCUGUAGGAUAUAACCACAAGUGUGCAAUCAAAUCUGAUAUAUUACCAAAUGGAGAACAUGUUAGUUCCAAUACAAAAGUAAUAUUUUCUAUGUAUGCAAUGGGAAGGAUGGAAGAAAUAUGGGGAGAAAAUUGCUUGGAAUUUAAGCCAGAGAGAUGGAUAUCAGAUAUAGGGCAGAGUAUACAUGUGCCCUCUUACCAGUUCACAGCAUUUAAUGCAGGGCCUAGAAGUUGUCUUGGGAAAGAUAUGAGCAUUAUUCAAAUGAAAAUGGCUGCAGUUACAAUGUUAUGGAAGUUUCACAUACAGGUUGUCGAAGGUCAAUCUAUUACUCCAAGGGCUUCUAUUGUUCUUCGCAUGGAACAUGGCUUUAAGGUCAAACUCACUAAAAGAUGCAUUUCAUAAAAGCUUUUGUGAAGUUCAUAUUGAUCAGUGAUACAUGUUGUGUUGAUUAUUUCCUUUAUUUAUUUUCAUGCGUGAGUCUGUCAUAAUUAAAUAAUGUUAUGGUCAAAUUUGUAUUAUUUUCUACUUGUGUUUGCAAUUACCACAUGUAAACAGAACAUUUAGGAAUAGAUUAAAUUGGGACCAUGUCUCCAUGUAUUUUCAUUCAAGUUUUAAAUAAAAUUAAGUGUUCUGAGAUAUUAAGAAUGAUUUCUCUUUAUGCUUUUGAGUCAUCUAUACAAUAGAAUAAAAUAAACAUUGUAUUAUGAUAAGUCUCACAAAUGUCAUCUAAUGAAAAAGGUUAAGCUAAUAUGAUAUGCUUUUAUCAUCAAAUCCUCUUUUUGUUGGUACAUGGUAGAGUAAUACAAAAAUUAUAUAAGACGAUGAGAAGAAAUUGACUCUAAGACUUUUGUCUAGAUACUUUACAUUAUAUUGACGUAUACUUUUGUUAAUUUUUCCAUUCAUCACUUCACAGUCCUAAGUUGUAAAAAAUCAUCACUUCACAACAUGCUUCAAAAUAUAGGUUUAUAUAGAUGUUAAAAUAUGUGGAUUUUUGUGGUGUUCUUUCAGUUCAAUAGGAUAGUUGUGAAAUAAACCUUGUGGAGUUUUGUUCUAUUUUUGGUGCACAAAACUGCUCCUAGUUCUCUUUAGAGCUAAGAUGGUAUUUCCUAUUUUUUCUCUAAAUAUUGAUUGAAGAGCAAAUUUUUUUUAUUCAUAAUUGAUGUUGGCUAUGGCAAUGGUUAUACUAAUAGCACUGGUGACUCUGGUUUCAUUCAACAAUUGAGAGGAGGAUUGAAGGAGAUUAGGCAUUGAGAGCAUGAUUGAGAGGGGAGAAAGAAGAAGAGGUCCACAUCGGCUAAAAGCUGAUGUGAGAAAUAUUUGUAUAGGUGGAUGAAAUAGAAUGAGGUGGCAUUCGGGGCUGAGGUGACAUUCGGGGGUCUGUUUUAAAUAUAUAUAAUAGAUUAUUUUUUAUAAAUUUGUGUAUUUUUUGUCAAAUAGAAUAUAUAUUUUUAUUGUAUAAGAUGUUACUAAAAAAUGAAUUGACAUAAAUUGAAAGAAAUUAUAAAUGCAUUGACAUUAAUGAGUAAUUGAAUUUUUAAUGUAUAAAAUCAUUUCUCACCAGAAUUGGAAUAAUAUAAUUGUCCAUUAAAGGAGAAUAUUUAUGUCGAUAUUUAUGAGUGAUUAGGUGGUUUUUUUCCAUUGAAUUUAAUGACUAAUUAUAUAAAUUAUUUCCAUUGGUAAAUUACUAAUAAUAUUAUAAAAUAAUUUAUAAUUUAUUAUAAAAUAAAUUAUAAAAUAAUUUGAUAAUAAUAUAAAUUAUAAAUUAUUAUCAAAUUGUAAAAUAAUUUAUAAAUUAUAAAUUUAUUAUAAAAUAAUUUUAUAAUUUAUAAAUUUAUUAUAAAUUAUAACCAUUGGUAAAUGACUAAUAAUAUUAUAAAAUAAUUUAUAAAUUUAUUAUAAAAUAACUUAUAAAAUAAUUUGAUAAUAAUAUAAAUUAUAAAUUAUUAUCAAAUUGUAAAAUAAUUUAUAAAUUAUAAAUUUAUUAUAAAAUAACUUAUAAAAUAAUUUGAUAAUAAUAUAAAUUAUAAAUUAUUAUCAAAUUGUAAAAUAAUUUAUAAAUUAUAAAUUUAUUAUAAAUAAUUGUAAAAUAAUUUUAUAAUUUAUAAAUUUAUAAAAUAAUAUUAUUAUUGAGAGGAGGAUUGAAGGAGAUUAGACAUUGAGAGCAUGAUUGAGAGGCGAGAAAGGAGAAGAGGUCCACAUCAGCUAAAAGCUGAUGUGAGAAAUAUUUGUAUAGGUGGACGAAAUAGAAUGAGGUGGCAUUCGGGGGUAUUUGUAGCCAUUCUGUUUAUCAUAUUCUACUAUAUUUGGAGACAAAAUAGAGAUGUUCUUUUACCAAAUUGGCCAUUUAUUGGCAUGUUACCAGGAAUUGCGCAUAACAUGUCCAAUUUUCAUGAUUUUUUAACAUCAGUGAUGAAACAACACAGAGGAACUUUUCAAUUUAAAGGACCUUGGUUUACAAAUAUUUCUGACUUCAUCUUCACUAGUGAUCCCAUGAAUGUACAACACAUCACAAGCAAGAAUUUCAACAACUAUGGGAAAGGAUCUGAUUUCAAAGAGAGUUUUGAGUUUUUUGGUGAUGGUAUUUUCAAUUUAGACUCCAAUGAAUGGAAAACAGAGAGGAAACUACUUCAUUCUUUGCUCACAAGAAAAAGCUUUAAGAUAUUCCAUCAACAAAACAUUCAAAAGAAGCUAGAAAAUUGUCUGAUACCUUUUCUUGAUGAUGCAUCAAGAGAUUUACAAAUAAUUGAUUUACAAGAUACUUUUGAGAGGAUCACCUUUGACAUUGGUUGCGCUUUUUUAUUUGGCUUUGAUCCUAAUUACCUUCAUAAAAAAUUCAACGACUUAUCAAAUAUGGACUGCGUAACAGCUUUUUCUGUAUUAGAGGAUAUUGUUUUGUGUAGGCACUUUACUCCAAAUUUU